AGAGUUUUGAUCCUGGCUCAGGAUGAACGCUGCGGCUGCUUAACACAUGCAAGUCGAACGGAACUGUCAUUUUUGAAGCAUUAGCUGCUAAGGGUGGAAAUGUUGGCAGUUUAGUGGCGGACGGGUGAGUAACGCGUGGGUAACCUGCCUUACACAGGGGGAUAACACCUGGAAACAGGUGCUAAUACCGCAUAACAGGAAGAGGCGCAUGCCACUUUCUUGAAAACUCCGGUGGUGUAAGAUGGACCCGCGUCUGAUUAGCUAGUUGGCGGGGUAACGGCCCACCAAGGCGACGAUCAGUAGCCGGCCUGAGAGGGUGGACGGCCACAUUAGGACUGAGACACGGCCCAAACUCCUACGGGAGGCAGCAGUGGGGAAUAUUGGACAAUGGGGGGAACCCUGAUCCAGCGACGCCGCGUGAGUGAAGAAGUAUUUCGGUAUGUAAAGCUCUAUCAGCAGGGAAGAAAGAAAUGACGGUACCUGACUAAGAAGCCCCGGCUAACUACGUG
rnacentral:rRNA from 1 species